CAGCCGCCGCGGUAAUACGAAGGGGGCUAGCGUUGCUCGGAAUGACUGGGCGUAAAGGGCGCGUAGGCGGAUUGUUUAGUUAGGCGUGAAAUUCCUGGGCUUAACCUGGGGACUGCGCUUAAUACAGGCAGUCUAGAGUGAGGAAGAGGGUUGUGGAAUUCCCAGUGUAGAGGUGAAAUUCGUAGAUAUUGGGAAGAACACCGGUGGCGAAGGCGGCAACCUGGUCCUUGACUGACGCUGAGGCGCGAAAGCGUGGGGAGCAAACAGGAUUAGAGACCCCCGUAGUCCCUGUCUCUUAUAC
rnacentral:rRNA from 1 species